rnacentral:rRNA from 1 species
CCUACGGGGGGCAGCAGUGGGGAAUAUUGGACAAUGGGCGAAAGCCUGAUCCAGCCAUGCCGCGUGUGUGAAGAAGGCCUUCGGGUUGUAAAGCACUUUCAGUGGGGAAGAAAGCCUUGGGGCUAAUACCCUCGAGGAAGGACAUCACCCACAGAAGAAGCACCGGCUAACUCCGUGCCAGCAGCCGCGGUAAUACGGAGGGUGCGAGCGUUAAUCGGAAUUACUGGGCGUAAAGCGCGCGUAGGCGGUCUGAUAAGCCGGUUGUGAAAGCCCCGGGCUCAUCCUGGGAACGGCAUCCGGAACUGUCAGGCUAGAGUGCAGGAGAGGAAGGUAGAAUUCCCGGUGUAGCGGUGAAAUGCGUAGAGAUCGGGAGGAAUACCAGUGGCGAAGGCGGCCUUCUGGACUGACACUGACGCUGAGGUGCGAAAGCGUGGGUAGCAAACAGGAUUAGAUACCCCAGUAGUC